rnacentral:tRNA from 1 species
GGAUGGGUGGCCGAGUGGUUUAAGGCACUAGUCUUGAAAACUAGCGUAGGCGCAAGUCUACCGUGAGUUCGAAUCUCACCCCAUCCACCA